GGCAUGAGGUAGGAAGCAGUGUCCAGCAGAUGUACUGCACGUCCUGCAUGGUCUCCUCAGGACAGCCUCCUCAGAGCAGUGACAGCAGUGCUGCUUCCACUUGCUUCCCUCUUCUCAUCUCUUCAUCACAAACUUAUGCUUGCAGGCCGCCUGGGACAGCAGAGAUGUUUUAUCUACAAGGACAAAUUGCUGCAUAAAGUUACAGUGCUACAUGAAGAGAACAACCACCCUAACGGCACUGCAACCUGAUGGACAUGAUUAUGCCAGGGAGAAGAAGGUUAAAGAAAACAAAGAAAUGCCAGGCUGAUGUGGAGAAGGGCAGGAAAAAAUUGCCUCCCAGAUGAAAUAUAUGGCAAGAAGAACUAUAUUUCCAAACCAUUUCAAGGAAAUAAUUUUUUCAGUUAUUUGUCACUCUGCUGCACAAAAUGAUCAGACACACUGUCCAAUCAACAGCAAACCAGAAACGA